UGGGGAAUAUUGCACAAUGGGCGAAAGCCUGAUGCAGCAACGCCGCGUGAAGGAUGAAGGUCUUCGGAUUGUAAACUUCUAUCAGUAGGGAAGAAUAAAUGACGGUACCUGACUAAGAAGCUCCGGCUAACUACGUGCCAGCAGCCGCGGUAAUACGUAGGGAGCAAGCGUUAUCCGGAUUUACUGGGUGUAAAGGGUGCGUAGGCGGCCCCUUAAGUCUAAAGUGAAAUUUCGAGGCUCAACCUCGGAGCUGCUUUGGAAACUGAGGGGCUAGAGUGUGGGAGAGGAAAGUGGAACUUUGAGUGUAGCGGUGAAAUGCGUAGAGAUUCAAAGGAACACCAGUAGCGAAGGCGGCUUUCUGGACCAUAACUGACGCUGAGGCACGAAAGCGUGGGGAGCAAACAGGAUUAGAUACCCUGGUAGU
rnacentral:rRNA from 1 species